UGGGGAAUAUUGGACAAUGGGCGAAAGCCUGAUCCAGCCAUGCCGCGUGUGUGAAGAAGGUCUUCGGAUUGUAAAGCACUUUAAGUUGGGAGGAAGGGCAUUAACCUAAUACGUUAGUGUUUUGACGUUACCGACAGAAUAAGCACCGGCUAACUCUGUGCCAGCAGCCGCGGUAAUACAGAGGGUGCAAGCGUUAACCGAAAUUACUGGGCGUAAAGCGCGCGUAGGUGGUUUGUUAAGUUGGAUGUGAAAUCCCCGGGCUCAACCUGGGAACUGCAUUCAAAACUGACUGACUAGAGUAUGGUAGAGGGUGGUGGAAUUUCCUGUGUAGCGGUGAAAUGCGUAGAUAUAGGAAGGAACACCAGUGGCGAAGGCGACCACCUGGACUAAUACUGACACUGAGGUGCGAAAGCGUGGGGAGCAAACA
rnacentral:rRNA from 1 species